rnacentral:lncRNA from 1 species
AUGGGGCGGGGGACCAUGGCAGGACGGGCUGUGCCAAGCUGCGGGUUGGACCUGCCUGGUGUAGCCAUUCCUUUUCCAAGAUUCAAAACUAUACCCAGGGUGACAGUUGCAGAAUUCACUGGUACAGCCACAGCAUCUUCAGUGCAGGCUGAUGACAAUGGUGACAGCCAGGAGUUCGGCACAAGCUCUUUCAGCCACUUUGAACAAAUUAAUGGGGCAAAACAGAAAACACCAGGCUGUCACUGCAUUCACCAGGCUGGACUCUCAUCCAAGAUGUCAUUCCUCUUGAGCUGCUUGGUUCAACUUUAA